rnacentral:lncRNA from 1 species
GUAAUGUUAUAGGUGUAGUGGUUCUGGAGCUCACGUCUGCACAUGACAAAAGUCUAAAGGGAGAGGGGAAAAGUAGCUUCCAGAAGUUUUCCCAGAAGAGAGAAAAAGAACAUAACAAGAAGUCCCCAACAAACCUCUCCUCUUGUAUUUGGGCCUGAAUUGAAUCUUGAAACAAUCAUUGGAAGUCACAGAGGCUCACCCAGGAUCGAGGAGAAGAAACAUCAGUUCCACAUCUUUAUGGUUCCGUGGCAAGGUUCCGGAAGAAUAUAUAAGACUGGAAUUAUUAUGGCAACUCAUGUUGGAAAAUGCAAUCUGCUGCAAGGUGAAUGGGAGGUUGAUGGUCACCAAUAACGUCCACCACCAGGAGGGCUGCUCUUUAAAACUGUUGGAAAAAUAACAUAAAUAAGUAAACUGAAUGACAGGUGGGCAAGGCUGGCACACAGACAGAGGAGAGGAAGAGAGAGAAGAGCACGUACAUAGCAGGUGCUCCCUGUAGGAAGCUGCCAGCUUGCCAU